rnacentral:tRNA from 1 species
AGCCUUGUAGUGGUUUCACGUCAAAAUGCAAGUUUGAAAGCGAGCCCUAAGGGGCUCCGGGGCUU